AAUAUAUCAACCUCCUUUAGUUGAGUGUUGGAAGUGGGGGUUUGCUGGUCUCUGUCUAUGAUCAGCUCCCCUGAAAUGUAUUAGCAGAACAAUCCUGUUCAUUGGUGUGAUAAACUAUUUACACUAUUGACUUGAGUAAAGUUCGGCUUCUAACAGUCUAUUGACUUUUUCAUUA
rnacentral:misc_RNA from 1 species